UACGUAGGGUGCAAGCGUUAAUCGGAAUUACUGGGCGUAAAGCGUGCGCAGGCGGUGAUGUAAGACAGGUGUGAAAUCCCCGGGCUUAACCUGGGAACUGCAUUUGUGACUGCAUCGCUGGAGUGCGGCAGAGGGGGAUGGAAUUCCUGGUGUAGCAGUGAAAUGCGUAGAUAUCAGGAGGAACACCGAUGGCGAAGGCAGGUCUCUGGGCUGACACUGACGCUCAUGCACGAAAGCGUGGGGAGCAAACAGG
rnacentral:rRNA from 1 species